rnacentral:rRNA from 1 species
UCCAUGAGUAAAGUGGCGCACGGGUGAGUAACACGUGACUAACCUACCCUUGAGUGGGGAAUAACUGAGGGAAACCUUGGCUAAUACCGCAUAAUACCUACGGGUCAAAGGAGCAAUUCGCUUAAGGAGGGGGUCGCGGCAGAUUAGUUAGUUGGCGGGGUAAUGGCCCACCAAGACAGUGAUCUGUAUCCGGCCUGAGAGGGCGCACGGACACACUGGAACUGAAACACGGUCCAG